AAUUGCUGGAUACACUAUAAUGUUUCAGAUCAGUUGGAAUGUUUGAAGUCAUACAAACAACAUAUUUUUGAACAUAUUUUUGGAAUACAGGAACUAGUUUUUUUUUGUUACUAUGGGGUGGUCACUCAGAAUGACAAAAAAUCCCGAGCUUUUCCUGGUAACUUUUUGACCCGAUUCUAAAAUGUCAUAGUUUACAGUGGAAGUUAAAUGUAACCUUUUCAGGAAGUUUUAAGAGAACUAAUAUUUUCGAAAGCUUCACUUAAAAUAGUACUAAGACGAACUUAAAAAUAAUGUUAGAACUAAUGUACUGCUUAUUAUCCUACUAAGUUAUGUGUUCGCAUGUACCAAUUAUAACGAACGGUACUGUUGCGUACAGUUUCAGUACGCUUGCUGCUGAGUGGAACUGGUAACCCAGAAGCAAUAGUCUAUUUUAUGAGGCUAGUCAAACGACAGAACUCCGCGCUCUGAUGUUUACGUUUUCAAUCAUCAUCUGGUUGAUGAUGGUUAAUGACUGCGCGCAAGUCAAGCGUAGUUUUUGAAACUGGCUAAAACCAUAAUAAGAUAUUUUUAUUUCAUUUUUUUCCGCUAGUUAACGAAUGAAUCGUGACGAAAAAAAUACCUGAUUAAUUAUUGAGAUUUAUAUUGCUUCUACGACAGCUUUUGAACCUAUUUUGGCUCAAAUUUCUCAUAUCUCCAAUUUGUUGAACAAGUACCUUUUCAAAAAUUACGCGAUAUUCUUGCAAAACAAACGUGCGUGGAAUUCUGUCAGUUGACGCCGCUGCUGCGAUCAGUUGUUCUGAAACGUCUCGUAAAAUGGCUUAUAGUGGAGUGCAUGAGCGGCGGCGCGGAGGUCGACAGUGGUGAUAAUUUUACAACUCGGCAGUGUCUUUGGUUCGUCAACGCGAAAGGGCACGGCGGUUAGGAGAUACGUCUGCCCCGAGAACGAAUACCACAUUUAUUGAAGCUGCUUGGAGUAAGAAGCUGCUGUCGAUGGGUGGUUUUAGUUCUGCGGCAAAGCGUCCCUAACUGGUACUGUAAUUAUGUUGUUUCCCAAAAUACUUGUAUGCAAGUCUUUGAUGAAAGUUAUGUGCAAAACGUCAAAACUGUAUGUUGUGUUGGCAUGUAUUCAUUAGUAUCCGUACUUAUUGUUGACGUUAGGACAAAACUGAAAAUGUACGUAUUAAUUCUGUGAUAUUUUAUGUAACUAAUUAUAAAUAAUAAAUUACAGUUUUGAGUGUCUGGCCGAGUGCAACACUGGAAAAACGGUUUCAGUCCAGCGUCCGAAAAACAUCCGCGGCGGGAUGAAAUCCCGUCGCAACAUCAUGUACUGAUUGAUCGGUUGAUGAAGAAUACUGACGAAUGAUGAAGAAUACUGACGAAUCUCAAAAUUAAAGUUACGACAUCUCAAGAAAAGAUUCGUAAAAUUCAGGGAUGAUCGACUUAUGAGGGAGUGUUCAACCUAGAGGAAGCGAAGGAUUUCCUCUUUAUUGCCGUCGAGCAGAUACAGAGUUUCCGUACCUCAAAAACUCUCACGGCAAUAACCAUCAAGGUCAGUGGCCUCCUCCAAAAGGGACUGGCUACCCGAAGAGCUUCACUGAUUGUUCCCUGAUGGGUUAAUCCUCCUCCAAAAGGGACUGGUUACCCGAAGAGGAUUAAGGUUGAACUUCUCUUCCAAAAGGGACUGGUUACCCGAAGAGAAUUAGGUGGUUUCGGAUAUUUCAAAACAAAGUGUCUGACUUGACUCGUACUAGAAUCUACCGCGAAUCCUUUAUUCAUGGAACGGGGUCCCCUUAUAUACCCUCGUCCAGACCUGUCCAGACAUUUUCGCACCCUCUUUCUAACAUGUUUUUCCUGAUCCUGUGGAAAACUAUUCCAUUUGUAUAUGUGCCGUACAGAAAGUAUGCUCAUCCUUUCCACAUCAUUAAUUAGUCAUGAUCGAUCGAGAUUCUAACUUGCAUACAUAUAAUCUUGCUAUAAACCUUCCAAGCAAAUCUUGCUUACAAUUAAUUUAGCCGAGUUGAGAAUCUUUUCAGCAAUUAAGCCUCUGCAAUAGAUUAGAGUUUUCCUAGAUUAACUCUUGGUGGUGAGCAUGGAUAGUUGCAUACAAUUGUAAUCCUAGCGGUGCUUGUCUGGUUUAAUAGGGUUUCAUAAUAUUGCUUAAUCAUAAUGCUUAUGUAUAAGUGGCAGAGCUUUAUCUGAGUGUGCAAUAUCAAAUUCGAUCGCAUAAUUCAUCUCACGCAUGCGUAUUACCGAAGAUGCCUACAUGAAUCGAUCCAACUUUGUACUUCCACACAUCUAGAAUUCUUGCAUCAUAUGGAUCAUGAAUGAACCUGAAUAUGAAAACGCGUAGUAAAGAUCAUGAUUGAUCCUGAAUAUGAAAACGUUUUCAUUCAAUACAACUUGAUCAUUCAUUCCCUAUAAUAUUCUGAAUGUAUGCGAUCUGCGUAUCAUACGCUUAAUAAUUGACAUUGACAUUGAUCUUGCGCUAGAGUCCCAUUGCCAAGCAUAACCGUAGUAACAUCAGGGAAGUGGAAAGCAAAUGAUUUGUUUUUCAAUAUAUGCGCUGGACUAAUCGUUUACUAAGCGCGGUUUGCUCCGCGCUGGAUCAUGUGUUUAUCCAAAACAGUCCCUCCCAUGACGCUACGCAAUCAAAGCAUAAUGGUGAUAACGUUUGGUGAAACGUUGGCUCGUUUCCAAUCGAUUCAGAUUGAUUUUUGCACAUUGGAAUUUACACCGAUCUACAUGAAUUUGUGACCAACGCGAUUCAUCAAGCGUUAUUUUUACAAUUAUUAUGUUCCUUAUUAUUAUAAAUCAUUAUAAUAGGAAUGUUUGUGUGGCACUUCUCUUGCCAUUACUAUAAUCAAGUGAAGAGUGAGCGUCGAAUAUAUUGUGCUUACAAUAGAUAAAUGAGACUUUGACCAAACCAUCGACGUUGUAACUACUGCCUGCCAACUACUAACCCGUACAAGCUAGCAGCAGCAAGAAACUCCUCGAACUGGGUCUCAGAGUCGGCUUACUACUGGGUGAUCAAGGGGACGCGUGACAAAGUAUGGAAACACCGAAUUUUCAUGUUCUUUAAACAAUUUAUUAGCCCUAUUCUGUGGCGUGUGGGUGUAAGAAAACAUUUCGUGUGGCGUGUAUGAGAGGGGAUCGAUCACUGGGUACUCACUACUCUACUCCUUCGGCGUUGACCCCCACGGUUACGCACGAUUGCGAUAGCCCUACCGUGUGGCCGAAUUCUCGCAGCGGGGCUGCUCGGUGAUGGUGUCCGUGGAUCCGGAAGCACAUCGGAUCUGUCCAGCGGCUUUGCUGGGGUGUUGUAGCUGAGCUUGAAGGCGUCUUCUCUCAUAGGCUGUAUCGGCACGGCCCAGGACGAGACCAGAGUGACCGUGCCGAGAGAGGUCCCUCCUAGAUAAUUAGGGCCGGCGGCCCGAGGGAUUCGUCCGGAAUCGGACGACGGGGUGUCCUUGGUAUUUAGACUCGGAAGCCAUUUUGACUUCCGAGCCGACCCGUGUGAGGACCGUAUUUUAAAAUACGGCAAGAGGUCCUGAAGAAAAUAUUAUUAUUCCGUCAGGGUGGUCGGGUAUUUCUAGUGUAGACCAAAUUACCUGAACGGGAGUAGGCCGUUGCUCCAACUCCCGCCAUCGGAAAAGAAAGGGGGGGGGGGUAUAGCAACACUACGCGGCACUACUUUUAUCCGAUCGUAAGGAUCGGUGUUACUCACACGGACGCCUAUAUUGUUCUGCCUCAAAACUUAUCAAUUUGGAAGAUGGCAGCGCCCAUGGGACAGAAUGCACAGCCAUGACACACAUAAACACGAAAAUCACGAUGGCCAUGUUCUAUCCCUUCAGUAAUACCAUGUUACAAUAUUGGUAGCGGAGUAACCCUCUCAGUCGUGUAUUCCUACUGUGUUAUUACUAUACAAAAAAACAUGAAAUUUCCGCCAACAUUCGGCUCAUACAGAAAUAAAAACCUAAAGAUGUAACCGACAGGUUACAACGUGGCGACACGAUUAGUUGAAUUUAUGCAAUUAUUUGUGAAAAUAAAAAUAAAAAAGGACAAUGGUAGAGGGUCAGAAUUCCUUGAGGAAUUGAUAAAGAAAAGUUAUAGGUGGAUUUCAUAGUAAAAUUCCAACAGCCUUUUCCCAAAAAUUCUUGCAAAUUUAUUUCCGAAACUAAUAGGCAAAAACGGGAUGCCGACAAAAAGCAUUCUAGAUGACCUUCUGGCUGAAUAUCUGGAGAGAUUACUCAUGGAAGCAA